ensembl:misc_RNA 7SK 7SK RNA
GGAUAUGAUGACAAUUUGGCUGCAAUAGUUGUCACCCAUCAAUUGCCAAGGCUAAUUUGGCUGAUCCAGGCGGUUAGGCAGGUGUCCUCUUCCUCCCUCGUCACUCCUUUCCUAACAGAGGACCACUCUUUUGGGAAAAGCUACAUAAGCAGCUACAACCUCCACACACAUCUCAAAGUCUAUUGUAGGAGAACAUCGGGAAGUCAAACUUCGAAGACUCCAGACGCAUCCAAAAGAAGAGCUGCAUGUGGCAGUCUGUCUUUCUUU